CUCUCUCUCUCUCUCUCACACACACACACACACACACACACACAGGGUGGGAGAGUAGGGGUAAUAUCAAAUUUGACUAGGAAGAUUGCCCAGCAGGUAAGAGCACUUCCCACUCAUCCUGACAACCUAAGUUUGAUCCCUGGAGCCCCCAUGGUGGAAGGAAAGAGCCCACUUCCAUCGAAGGUAUGAAAUAUCAACUCGUUAUUAUAAAGAUAUUUUUACCCUGGAAAUAGAUAAACACAGGAAUGACCUCCUUUUCGGACAAGCUGUUUUGGAUUCCAGAUAUCUGCUUUCCAGUGGGGUGCCUCCCAGUAAGCAGGGCCAGCUUGUCAUUAGAGGAAAUGCAUUGUGUAAUUCAGAGAGAACGAGGCCUUUGGGGGAGGUAUACCUUUCUCAUGCUGGUCAGUUUCCCGUAUGGUGUGUAAGAAGGAGCUAUUCUGUUUGCCUGCAUCCAGGGAGAUGCCUUUUUUAGCAUUGAACUUUCCCUCAGAGUGGUGUCUCUUACAGAAGCCAUCACUGUGGGGAUGUGCUUGGCCACUGCAGGCAUCACUCUGUGAGGUUAGUGAGUGGGGGCUCUUAGUGUCCUGCAGAAGGGAAGGGAAGUCGCUCUCAAGGGCUCUGAGCAAGCACGGCAGAGGUUAUAUACACUCUAGUUCCUGCCUCACAAUAGCUGGGUGUGUUUGCAUGUGUGUAGGUGCAUGUAUGUGUGUGUGCAGGCGUCUGUGUAUGCGGGGCCAUCGACUGGCAUCAGGGGUCUUCCUUGGUCAUACUUUACCUUAUAUAUUGAGGCAGGCUCUCAGUUGAACCCAGAGCUCACUGAUUGGGGUCUAAUCAACUGGCUUGUUCUGGGGAUCCCUCUUCCCACCUCCCAAGGGCUGUAAUUGCAUGUGGAAGUGUAGCUGCCCAACAUUUCCAUGGGUGCUGGGGAUUCAAACUCCAGUCCUCAUUCUUUUGCUGCAAGCCCUUUAGCCCCUGAGCUAUCUACCCCAAGUCCACACCAGCCUUCACAACACCCUUUGUUUCAUAAUCUUUGAGAGCACGGUUCAUGAAAGAAGCAGUCAACCCAUGGGGCAUAAGACACCAUGUGACAGCCCGGAGUGGUGGUAUAUCGCUGUAAUCCCUGGCUUUAGGAGGUGGAGGCAGGAGGAUCAGGAGUUCGGGGCCAGCCUCGGGUACAUAUCAGGUUUAAGGCUACAUGGUAACAUUAGAAAGGACAGAGACUGUUUGAUAUAAUUUGGACCCUUUGAGGUGUUACAAAGUCCCUUGCCAUCUUUAGAGGACACAUGGGGUAAUCAGCAAAAUAACUGCAUGUCUGAAAAUGGAGGAAUGAAGUAUCAGUUACUGCUCUCUUCUGACAUGCAUUUGGGUAUAGAAGUGUCUCUUUAAGUUGUUCCUAGGUGAGGGAUCAACAUGGUGGUGUCUUCUUCUCUCCCAUGUACGGAGAUUGACAGGGCCCUUGGGGCCAAAUCCAUUUGUGCCUGCCAAGGAAUGUGAGCACGCAGUUGAUAAGAGGUAACGGCGCCAAUUCUCCAUCAAGAGGUCCCACAUUUCCACUCAGCAGGAACCCAACCUUAUUAGAAUGGCUGUUUGGCCCCCUGCCUUAUCCCUGUUUGUGGAUAUUGAGUGGGUAGGAUAUUCUGGGGUUCGUGGGUUGGAUAUUCUGGGUUUCCGAGGCUCAGUAGUCUGACGGGCAUCAACACUACCACCAGUUUCAUAGGGUGUGUGUCAUCAAAGGGCUUCUGUCCUAACUUCUUUCUGUUGCUUUGAUAAGGCACACCGACCAAAAGCAACUUGGGGAGGAAAGAUUUAUUGACCUUAUAUUACCAUCAAAGGAAGUCAGGGCAGGACUUCAAGGCAGCAGCCUAAAACAGAAACCAUGAAGGAACGCUGCUUGCUGGCUUGCCCACAGUGGACUGGGGCCCUGCUACAUCAAUGAAGACAAGCUGCUUCCUCACAGACAUAUUCACAGACCAACCUGAUAAAGGCUAUUACUCAGCUGAGACUCUCGGGUGAUCCUAGGCUGUAUUGACCGUUAACACUGACACGGCUUUAUUUACUAAGGCCAGUGAGCAGUGCAGACCCGCCCUGCCCCCCUCCACACACACUCAGGCGUGCAGCCCUCGCUGACUUCACAGCUUGUCUUAGAAGAACGUUCCAGCCACUGAACAUAGAGAAACUCUAAGUAACACAAGUACCUGUAUGAUAACCAGUAGACUGUGCUGAGUUCAAAGGGACGCUCUCCAGCACGACGAGGAGCCCUCUCCCUUUGCCAGCAGUGAACACACAUCAGAGCCGGACCUGGUGGUGAGGCUUAGGCAGGAGGAUGGCUGGGAGUUUGAGACCAGCCUGGACCCUCAUUCAGAACAAAACAUCAGACAAACAGCUAACAAGAAUGUAAUCUCCUCCAAAAACUAAUGCAGAGGAAUUAACUGUCCCUUUAGGGGAGAAACAGUAUCCUAUUUUUACUUUAUAUCUUUAUAAUUAUGAAUAAAGUUUUAGGCCUACUCUUACAUAUUUAUUAACCACUUGACUUUGUUCAUUUUCUAGCUUUUUAACAUCUAGUUAUUUAUUCGGCAACACUGGGGCUCGAACCCUGAGUCUCACGGAGCUACAGCCACAGGCCUUGUCUUUGGACUCCUUUGUAUUCUUUCCUGUUGGGUUGUCUGCUACAUUCUGGUUGAUGUUUUCUAAGAAUUCCUUUAAUUGUUUGAAAAAGUAUUUUAUUUUAUUAUGUGUAUUUGUGUUCUGCUUACAUGUAUGUACUGUGUGUAUGCCUGGUGCUAGCAAGGCCAGAAGGGGGCGCCAGAUGCCAUAGAAACAGAGUUACAGACCAUUUUGAGCUGCCAUGUUGAGCUGGGAAUUGAACCCAGGACCUCUGGAGGAGCUGUGCGUGCUCUUAACCACUGAGCCAUCUCUCCAGACCUCUCUUACUUUUUUAAUGUUUUAAAAUGUAAUUUAUUAUUACUCUGUGUGUGUGUGUGUGUGUGUGUGUGUGUGUGUGUGUGUGUGUGUGUGUGACACAUGGGGAGGUCACAGGACAACUUUUGGGAGUCUGUUCUCUAUACCAUGUGGAUUUCGGGAAUUGAACUUAGCUGGGCAGGUUUGCAUGGUGAAGUGUUUUUAGUAGCUGGCAUCUUCUUGCUCCUGAUAAUGUUUUUUUAUACGCUAAAGCUGGAAGUUUGUGGCAAGGCAGACCAGCCUGUUCUCUGCAUUUAGGGUUUGCUUGUUCAUAAAGGUCAGAUCACAAGGAUCAAAGUCACCUCUGAAAGGGAUUUGUGUGACAGUCCCAAGAACAGGUGGCUUUCAAAGCCAGCUCUCCUUACAACCUUGUGUAACUUGACUUAGCUUCUAGUUAAGCCCCAGAGUUUUCGGUGUCUCUCUAGGGGCAGGAAACUAAAGUGAGCUGGGCUGGGCAGGUGGACAUGGUGGCUGUUCUUUGUGGAGUUAUGACAGUCCUGGGACCCUCUGGCCAGAAUCUCCCUGUCCACUCCUGAGACAACCUUGCUUUCUGCCCAUCACCCUUCUUGUUGGCUCCAAGCCUUGCUCAAAAGCACAUAGUGACUAUUGAGGCAAAUUUGCAAGGUUCCAUUUGGACCUACAGUUUCAUUCAGAGUCUGAUGCUGUUAGUUUUCAUCCAGUUUGUCAGGUUAAAAAAAAAUAGUUUUGUGUGUGUGAGAGAGAAAGAGAGAAAGAGAGAGAGAGAGAAAGAGAGAGAGGAAAGAGAGAGGUCAGAUUUGAGCAUCCUUCCUUUAUCUACCUCUAUGUACCUUGGGAUUUUGUUCAGUUUUUUUGAGGCAGGGUUUCCCACCAGCCUGAAAUUUACCUAUAGGCUGGCUGGCCAUGGAGCCCCAGGAACCCUUCUGGUAUUACAAGUGUAUGCUGUCACAUCUGGCGUUUUCUAUGUGUCAGGGGUUUGAACUCAGGUCCUCCUGGCUGUGGAGUAAACAUUCUAACCACUGAGCUAGCUCUCCAGUCCCUAGGAAAACAGUCAUUUCUAAAAAGUGACCCUUGAUGAAAGAAGUUACACUUUUUUUUUAAAGGCAUUGUGUUGUGGAUAAUAAAACAAAAAUAUCAAUUAACUGCCAGUUUCAAAAGAAGUGUUGUAUAUUCUGUGUGUAAGAGAGAGACGGGCA